UUCAAGAUAGACCAUAUGAUAGGCCACAAAACAAGUCUCAGUAAAUGUAAGAAAACUGAAAUUAUAUCAAGUACUCUCUCAGACCACAGUGGAAUAUUCAAUAUUUAUGUGGUAAUCAAAAUUGGAUGUUUUUAGAAGCUAGCGUAGUUGCAGGGUGGUGGAGGGGCAGUGGGCAGAGGAUUUAGCUGGUAUAGAAAAAGAUCUUGUUUCUUCGGGGCAAUAGCAGGCAUCAUUCCACAAAAAAACUUAGCAUGUUUUCUAGUUUUCUAAGAGACCUAUAGGUGACAAAGGGAAGAAUAGGGGCCUAGGUGAAAUAUAAGUGUCUUCUCCAGGCGGGAACUAUUGUAACUAUUCCUGAAGAUAAAUAAGCAUAACAUAUGACUCCCAGUGCUUAUGUCAGAUCACAGGUUUACCCAGUGAAUGCUAAGUGGUUGUAGAGAACAGAAGGUAGCAUAUAUGAGAGAUGGGGAGGCGGGGAAUGAAAAAAAGGUAAAAAGAGAUUGAGUUAUUUUUCACUGGUUGUAUACAUGAUUUGAUGGAGAGUGUAUAGGGAAGAGGGUAAUGAGGGUGCAAUGGAAUCUCACUUAGCAAGGAAAGAGAAUGCACAAUUGAUAAACACAAUCAACUGAUGAAUCUCUAAGAUUCCAUUUAUAUGACAUUCUCAGAAAGAGAACACAGCAGUGAUAGAAAGCAGAUUAGUGAUUGCCAGGGAGUAGGAAAAGAAGUAUGACUGGGGAUAGCAUAAGGGAGAUCUUCCUGGUGAUGAAACUAAAGGCA
rnacentral:lncRNA from 10 species